GGUGGUGAAAUUGGUAGACGCAGGGGACUCAAAAUCCCCUGCCGCAAGGCGUGCCGGUUCGAUUCCGGCCCACCA
rnacentral:tRNA from 1 species